rnacentral:rRNA from 1 species
AGCUCCAAUAGCGUUUACUAAAGUUGCUGCAGUUAAAAACCUCGUUGUAGGAUCUCGGGUCCAUGCCUGCGGUACGCCUUGCGGCGCACGCUGCUCGUCCUGACCCCCUAGCCGGUUCAACUGCCCUGGUGCUCUUGACUGAGUGUCUUGGCCGGCCGGAAGGUUUACUUUGAAGAAAUUAGAGUGCUUAAAGCAGGCCCUAGCCGCCUGGAUAAUGUUGCAUGGAAUAAUGGAAUAGGACCUCAGUUCUAUUUGGUUGGUUUUCGGAGCACGAGGUAAUGAUUGAUAGGGACUGACAGGGGCACUCGUAUUGCGGCGCUAGAGGUGAAAUUCUUGGACCAUCGCAAGACGACCGACAGCGAAAGCAUUUGCCAAGCAUGUUUUCA